UGCGUAGGCAGCGAGCGUUGUUCGGAGUUACUGGGCGUAAAGGGUGUGUAGGCGGUUCUUUAAGUUUGGUGUGAAAUCUCCCGGCUCAACCGGGAGGGUGCGCCGAAUACUGAGGGACUCGAGUGCGGGAGAGGAAAGUGGAAUUCCUGGUGUAGCGGUGAAAUGCGUAGAUAUCAGGAGGAACACCGGUGGUGUAGACGGCUUUCUGGACCGUAACUGACGCUGAGACACGAAAGCGUGGGUAGCAAACAGG
rnacentral:rRNA from 1 species